ACUUCUUUUACUAUGCUAUUAGACUCAUUAGAGUGUGGGAACAGUCAUGCACUCUAACUUGUAGAUCCACGAGAUCCUCAUAGACUUAUAAGGGUAGAUCAACCUGCGGUUCCUCACUUUCUUCCUCAUCUGGGUCGCAUGGAAAAAGUGAAUUUUAUAUGCUCAGUAAAGAAAACAGUAUUAAACUAAUAUCAUAAGAUUUUAAAAGUUAAUUAUUUUAUCUUACCAUUUAACUUCCUUGUUUAUGUAU
rnacentral:lncRNA from 1 species